rnacentral:rRNA from 1 species
AUUGAACGCUGGCGGCAUGCUUUACACAUGCAAGUCGAACGGUAACAGGCCGCAAGGUGCUGACGAGUGGCGAACGGGUGAGUAAUGCAUCGGAACGUGCCCAGUCGUGGGGGAUAACGCAGCGAAAGCUGCGCUAAUACCGCAUACGAUCUAUGGAUGAAGCGGGGGACCGUAAGGCCUCGCGCGAUUGGAGCGGCCGAUGUCAGAUUAGGUAGUUGGUGGGGUAAAGGCUCACCGAGCCAACGAUCUGUAGCUGGUCUGAGAGGACGACCAGCCACACUGGGACUGAGACACGGCCCAGACUCCUACGGGAGGCAGCAGUGGGGAAUUUUGGACAAUGGGCGCAAGCCUGAUCCAGCAAUGCCGCGUGCAGGAAGAAGGCCUUCGGGUUGUAAACUGCUUUUGUACGGAACGAAACGGCUCUGGUUAAUACCUGGGGCUAAUGACGGUACCGUAAGAAUAAGCACCGGCUAACUACGUGCCAGCCGCCGCCGUAACAC